rnacentral:rRNA from 1 species
CCUACGGGUGGCAGCAGUGGGGAAUAUUGCACAAUGGGGGAAACCCUGAUGCAGCAACGCCGCGUGAGUGAAGAAGUAUCUCGGUAUGUAAAGCUCUAUUAGCAGGGAAGAAAAUGACGGUAACUGAAUAAGAAGACCCGGCUAACUACGUGCCCGCAGCCGCGGUAAUACGUAGGGGGCAAGCGUUAUCCGGAUUUACUGGGUGUAAAGGGAGCGUAGACGGUGUGGCAAGUCUGAAGUGAAAGCCCGGGGCUCAACCCCGGGACUGCAUUGGAAACUGUCAGGCUGGAGUGCUGGAGAGGGAAGCGGAAUUCCUAGUGUAGCGGUGAAAUGCGUAGAUAUUAGGAGGAACAUCAGUGGCGAAGGCGACUAUCUGGCACAUAACUGACGCUGAGGAGCGAAAGCGUGGGUAGCAAACAGGAUUAGAUACCCGGGUAGUC